rnacentral:rRNA from 1 species
AUUGAACGCUGGCGGCAUGCCUUACACAUGCAAGUCGAACGGUAACAGGUCUUCGGAUGCUGACGAGUGGCGAACGGGUGAGUAAUACGUCGGAACGUGCCUAGUAGUGGGGGAUAACUACUCGAAGGAGUGGCUAAUACCGCAUGAGAUCUACGGAUGAAAGCAGGGGAUCGCAAGACCUUGCGCUACUAGAGCGGCCGAUGGCAGAUUAGGUAGUUGGUGGGAUAAAAGCUUACCAAGCCGACGAUCUGUAGCUGGUCUGAGAGGACGAUCAGCCACACUGGGACUGAGAAACGGCCCAGACUCCUACGGGAGGCAGCAGUGGGGAAUUUUGGACAAUGGGCGCAAGCCUGAUCCAGCAAUGCCGCGUGCAGGAUGAAGGCCUUCGGGUUGUAAACUGCUUUUGUACGGAACGAAAAGCCCCGGGUUAAUACCCUGGGGUCAUGACGGUACCGUAAGAAUAAGCACCGGCUAACUACGUGCCAGCCGCCGCAGUAA